UGGACUGCCUUUUGCAUAAUGAGCCUGCGAGUUGUGGUGUCUGGCAAGGUUAAGCAAACGCGAAGCCGUAGCGAAAGCGAGUCUGAAUAGGGCGCUUAGUCAGAUGCUGCAGACCCGAAACGAAGUGAUCUAUCCAUGAGCAAGUUGAAGCUAGUGUAAGAACUAGUGGAGGACUGAACCCAUAGGCGUUGAAAAGCCCCGGGAUGACUUGUGGAUAGGGGUGAAAGGCCAAUCAAACUUCGUGAUAGCUGGUUCUCUCCGAAAUAUAUUUAGGUAUAGCGUUGUGUCGUAAUAUAAGGGGGUAGAGCACUGAAUGGGCUAGGGCAUACACCAAUGUACCAAACCCUAUCAAACUCCGAAUACCUUAUAUGUAAUCACAGCAGUCAGGCGGCGAGUGAUAAAAUCCGUCGUCAAGAGGGAAACAACCCAGACUACCAGCUAAGGUCCCUAAAUCUUACUUAAGUGGAAAACGAUGUGAAGUUACUUAAACAACCAGGAGGUUGGCUUAGAAGCAGCCAUCCUUUAAAGAAAGCGUAAUAGCUCACUGGUCUAGUGAUUUUGCGCGGAAAAUAUAACGGGGCUAAAGU
rnacentral:rRNA from 2 species